AUAACAUCUAAGCAGAGCAUGGCCCAUGGAAAAUAAAAGGCCUGAGAAGUAUAUGUAAAGUUAGAAACUCACAAUAAAAGGGAAGCUGUAACAUAUGCUUGAAAGAGGAUAAAAAGCAGCACAGUUUACUGGAAAAAGCCAUUAUUAUGAAGGUUCAUAAAGUUUAUGUUCCAUGGGAAAAUCACAACCAACAAACAAACCAACAAACCAGCUGUGCAUCAAGAGGAGCAAGUCCGAGAUCCUUCAACUCUCUAUAUGUUGUUACCCUUACAUGUGCAAUGGUCAACAUCGCAUACAAGUUUCUUUAGGUAAGGUUUCUUUCUCGGG